UACGUAGGCUGUUUAUUAAGUCAGAUGUGAAAGCCCCGGGCUUAACCUGGGAACUGCAUUUGAUACUGGUAAACUAGAGUAUGGUAGAGGGGGGUAGAAUUCCUAGUGUAGCGGUGAAAUGCGUAGAUAUUAGGAGGAAUACCAGUGGCGAAGGCGGCCCCCUGGACCAAUACUGACGCUGAGGUACGAAAGCGUGGGUAGCGAACA
rnacentral:rRNA from 1 species